rnacentral:rRNA from 1 species
AACGAACGCUGGCGGCGUGCCUAACACAUGCAAGUCGAACGAACCCUUCGGGGUUAGUGGCGCACGGGUGCGUAACGCGUGGGAAUCUGCCCAUUGCUUCGGAAUAACAGUUAGAAAUGACUGCUAAUACCGGAUGAUGUCUUCGGACCAAAGAUUUAUCGGCAAAGGAUGAGCCCGCGUAGGAUUAGGUAGUUGGUGGGGUAAAGGCCUACCAAGCCGACGAUCCUUAGCUGGUCUGAGAGGAUGAUCAGCCACACUGGGACUGAGACACGGCCCAGACUCGUACGGGAGGCAGCAGUGGGGAAUAUUGGACAAUGGACGCAAGUUUGAUCCAGCAAUGCCGCGUGAGUGAUGAAGGCCUUAGGGUUGUAAAGCUCUUUUACCAGGGAUGAUAAUGACAGUACCUGGAGAAUAAGCUCCGGCUAACUCCGUGCCAGCCGCCGCAGUAAGAC